rnacentral:rRNA from 1 species
GGGGGAAACCCUGACGCAGCAACGCCGCGUGGGUGAAGAAGGCCUUCGGGUCGUAAAGCCCUUUCGGACGGGACGAACGCUCCGCGGUGACAACCCGCGGAGCCUGACGGUACCGUAAGAAGAAGCACCGGCUAACUCCGUGCCAGCAGCCGCGGUAAUACGGAGGGUGCAAGCGUUGUUCGGAAUUACUGGGCGUAAAGCGCGUGUAGGCGGCCUUGCAAGCCAGACGUGAAAGCCCUCGGCUUAACCGGGGAAGUGCGUCUGGAACUGCUCGGCUCGAGUACGGGAGAGGGAGGCGGAAUUCCCAGUGUAGAGGUGAAAUUCGUAGAUAUUGGGAGGAACACCGGUGGCGAAAGCGGCCUCCUGGACCGAUACUGACGCUGAGACGCGAAAGCGUGGGGAGCAAACAGGAUUAGAUACCCUGGUAGUCCACGCUGUAAACGAUGGGCACUAGGUGUGGGGGGUAUCCACUCCUCCCGUGCCGCAGCUAACGCACUAAGUGCCCCGCCUGG